GGCUACGAUAUGAGGCGGGCUGGACCUCUCGGGGUUACAGCCUUGCUGAAUUAUUCACCCUUGUCUUUUGCGUACUUCUUGUUUCCUUGGUGGGUUCGCCCACCACUAGGACAAACAUAAACCUUUUGUAAUUGCAAUCAGCGUCAGUAACAAAUUAAUAAUUACAACUUUCAACAACGGAUCUCUUGGUUCUGGCAUCGAUGAAGAACGCAGCGAAAUGCGAUAAGUAGUGUGAAUUGCAGAAUUCAGUGAAUCAUCGAAUCUUUGAACGCACAUUGCGCCCUUUGGUAUUCCAAAGGGCAUGCCUGUUCGAGCGUCAUUUGUACCCUCAAGCUUUGCUUGGUGUUGGGCGUCUUGUCUCUAGCUUUGCUGGAGACUCGCCUUAAAGUAAUUGGCAGCCGGCCUACUGGUUUCGGAGCGCAGCACAAGUCGCACUCUCUAUCAGCAAAGGUCUAGCAUCCAUUAAGCCUUUUUUUCAACUUUUGACCUCGGAUCAGGUAGGGAUACCCGCUGAACUUAAGCAUAUCAUAGGCCGGAGGAAA
rnacentral:rRNA from 1 species